rnacentral:tRNA from 1 species
GGGUUGUUAGCUCAGUCGGCAGAGCAGUUGACUCUUAAUCAAUUGGCCCGGGGUUCGAGCCCCCGACAACCCA